CAAUAGCGUAUAUUAAAGUUGUUGCAGUUAAAAAGCUCGUAGUUGGACUUCUGGCAGGAGCGUCCGGUCUCACACUCAGUGCGGGAACUUGGAUGUCUCUGGCCAUCUUUGGGGAUAUCCUGUUUGGCAUUAAGUUGUCGGGCAGGGGGUACCCAUCGUUUACUGUGAAAAAAUUAGAGUGUUUAAAGCAGGCUUAUGCCGUUGAAUAUAUUAGCAUGGAAUAAUAAGAUAGGACGUAGGUACUAUUUUGUUGGUUUGCGCACCCACGUAAUGAUUAAUAGAGACAGGCGGGGCUAUUCGUAUUGCAUUGUCAGAGGUGAAAUUCUUGGAUUUCUGCAAGACGAACUACUGCGAAAGCAUUUAGCAAGGAUGUUUUCAUUAA
rnacentral:rRNA from 1 species